CGCGCAGGCGGCGCGUUAAGUCCGGGGGUGAAAUCCAUCGGCUCAACCGGUGGGGGGACCUUGGAUACUGGCGCACUGGAGUGCGGGAGAGGGAAGCGGAAUUCCACGUGUAACGGUGAAAUGUAUAGAUAUGUGGAGGAACACCGGUGGCGAAGGCGGCUUCCUGGACCGUAACUGACGCUGAGGCGCGAAAGCUGGGGGGAGCGAACAG
rnacentral:rRNA from 1 species